GUUCCAUCUGGAAGAAUCUGGAGACAGGUGCUGCAUGGCUGUCGUCAGCUCGUUGUCGUGAGAUGUUGGGUUAAGGUCCCGCAACGAGCGCAACCCUUGCCUUUAGUUUGCCAGCAGUUCGGCUGGGCACUCUAAAGGGAACUGCCGGUGUUAAACCGGAGGAAGGUGGGGAGUGACGUCAAGUCCUCAUGGCCUUUAUGACCAGGGCUACACACGUACUACAAUGGCCGAUACAAAGGGCAGCGACACUGCGAGGUGAAGCCAAUCCCGUAAAAUCGGUCUCAGUCCGGAUUGGAGUCUGCAACUCGACUCCAUGAAGUUGGAAUCGCUAGUAAUCGUGGAUCAGCAUGCCACGGUGAAUACGUUCCCGGGCCUU
rnacentral:rRNA from 1 species